rnacentral:rRNA from 1 species
GACGAACGCUGGCGGCGUGCCUAAUACAUGCAAGUAGAACGCUGAAGGAGGAGCUUGCUCUUCUGGAUGAGUUGCGAACGGGUGAGUAACGCGUAGGUAACCUGCCUGGUAGCGGGGGAUAACUAUUGGAAACGAUAGCUAAUACCGCAUAAGAGUAGAUGUUGCAUGACAUUUACUUAAAAGGUGCAAUUGCAUCACUACCAGAUGGACCUGCGUUGUAUUAGCUAGUUGGUGGGGUAACGGCUUACCAAGGCGACGAUACAUAGCCGACCUGAGAGGGGGAUCGGCCACACUGGGACUGAGACGCGGCCCAGACUCCUACGGGAGGCAGCAGUAGGGAAUCUUCGGCAAUGGACGGAAGUCUGACCGAGCAACGCCGCGUGAGUGAAGAAGGUUUUCGGAUCGUAAAGCUCUGUUGUAAGAGAAGAACGAGUGUGAGAGUGGAAAGUUCACACUGUGACGGUAUCUUACCAGAAAGGGACGGCUAACUACGUG